GUAGGUGAACCUGCGGAAGGAUCAUCAUUGAAUCCCACUCUUAUAAACCCUUGUGAAUCGUAUGCAAAAGAGUGUUUGGCGGGCUUGGCUCGGCGGCCGGUUGUCGUGUGCCGUGUGCGCAUGACAGCUGCUGCCGGGCCGUGUCUCCUCUCGGCAACGAGAGUGAGCGGCCCGCCAUCCGCUCGCAUUUCAAACACAAACUCUUUAACAAUAAACUAAACAAAACAAAUUAAUAAAUACAACUUUCAAC
rnacentral:misc_RNA from 1 species